AGAGUUUGAUCCUGGCUCAGAUUGAACGCUGGCGGCAGAGCCUAACACAUGCAAGUCGAACGGAAACGAUGGGAGCUUGCUCCCAGGCGUCGAGUGGCGGACGGGUGAGUAAUACUUAGGAAUCUGCCCAGUAGUGGGGGACAACUCGAGGAAACUCGAGCUAAUACCGCAUACGCCCUACGGGGGAAAGCGGAGGAUCUUUCGGGACUUCGCGCUAUUGGAUGAGCCUAAGUCGGAUUAGCUUGUUGGUGAGGUAAAGGCUCACCAAGGCGACGAUCCGUAGCUGGUCUGAGAGGACGAUCAGCCACACUGGGACUGAGACACGGCCCAGACUCCUACGGGAGGCAGCAGUGGGGAAUAUUGGACAAUGGGCGCAAGCCUGAUCCAGCAAUGCCGCGUGUGUGAAGAAGGCCUGCGGGUUGUAAAGCACUUUCAGUAGGGAGGAAAAGCUUAGGGUUAAUACCCCUGGGUCUUGACGUUAUCUACAGAAGAAGCACCGGCUAACUCCGUGCCAGCAGCCGCGGUAAUACGGGGGGGUGCAAGCGUUAAUCGGAAUUACUGGGCGUAAAGCGCUCGUAGGUGGUUUGAUAAGUCGGAUGUGAAAGCCCUGGGCUUAACCUGGGAACUGCAUUCGAAACUGUCAAGCUAGAGUAUGGUAGAGGUGAGGGGAAUUCCUGGUGUAGCGGUGAAAUGCGUAGAUAUCAGGAGGAACAUCAGUGGCGAAGGCGCCUCACUGGACCAAUACUGACGCUGAGGAGCGAAAGCGUGGGGAGCAAACGGGAUUAGAUACCCCGGUAGUCCACGCCGUAAACGAUGUCAACUAGACGUCGGGUUCAUAAAAGAACUUAGUGUCGCAGCUAACGCAUUAAGUUGACCGCCUUGGGAGUACGUUCGCAAGGAUGAAACUCUAAAGUAAUGACGGGGGGCCCGCACAAGCGGU
rnacentral:rRNA from 1 species